rnacentral:rRNA from 1 species
AAUAGAUACCCCGGUAGUCCACGCCGUAAACGAUGAGUACUAGUUAUUGGAGGUAUUGACUCCUUCAGUGACGCAGCUAACGCAUUAAGUACUCCGCCUGGGAAGUACGGUCGCAAGACUAAAACUCAAACAAAUUGACGGGGGCCCGCACAAGCGGUGGAUUAUGUGGUUUAAUUCGAAGCAACGCGCAGAACCUUACCUAGGCUUGAACUCCUACGAAUCCGGGGUAAUGCCUGGAGUGUCCGCAAGGAAAUGUAGUGAGAGGUGCUGCAUGGCUGUCGUCAGCUCGUGUUGUGAAAUGUUGGGUUAAGUCUCGCAACGAGCGCAACCCCUAUCGUCUGUUGCCAGCAUUAAGUUGGGCACUCUGACGAGACUGCCUGGGUUAACCAGGAGGAAGGUGGGGAUGACGUCAAGUCCUCAUGGCCCUUAUGUCUAGGGCUACACACGUAAUACAAUGGCGCGUACAAAGGGAAGCGAACUCGCAAGGGGAAGCAAAUCUCAAAAAGCGCGCCUCAGUUCGGAUUGGAGUCUGC